ACUGCAGUAUUUAUAUCUCUCAAUCACUCCUCAUCAGUACCUGGUGCUGGGGGAGGGAGGGAAGCAAGGGAAAGAACUACUGUGUAGACAGCUGUAUACCGCUUUAUGUAUGCACCACUGUACAUAUCAUUAUCAGUCUUCUGGAACCAUGUGUCUGGAUCUUGUUACUGUGUGCAUUUGUAGCACCACAAACCAUUUUCUCCGUCCUUCCCCUGUCUUACAUGCAAGCUUCAGGAGAUGAAUGUUAGUUCCCUCUGCGAUCACGGACAAUCCUUUCUGCUGUGCUGCCGUCCUUUUUUUAGCUUUACUACAGGAUGAGUACUUUUCCUUAUAAAGGUAACAUGAGAAUUAGUUGGAGUCAAAUUCUGCUCUCAGACACAGCCAAACAGCUUCACUAGCAGAGCAAGAAUUAUAAAUACUCAUAUAGGAACGACAAAUGCAGCAAACAGAUUUUAUAUGGAAAGUACUUUGAAAACAAAGAGCAUAACAUAAAUGCUAAGCAUCAUUGUAUUUAUAACCAACAAAAAAAGCUUUAAUGACUAUAUGGAAAGUCUGAACAUUAGGUAAAGAAUUUGUAAUGGCAAACAAGGCAACUCUUUCUAUAGUACCAUCUUCAGACAAACACAUUGACUUUCAGCAUCUUCCCAUUCAGCCCAUGUUCUUAGUUCUGUACACGGGAAGAAAAAGGAAAGUACCUGUGCAUUCUAGACCCUGAAAUGAGGUCUUCAUCAAAAUGUAUCUUAAAUAUCAUUGUUCUCUGCACUGAAUACAAGGGGUUAUUAGAGAACUUUCACCUUUUACCACUUUGCAACUUAGGAAAGACAAAUCUGAGGGAAUGAAAUGAAAUACAUUCCAUGAACCCUUGUUUUACACUAAGGUUGCCUGUAACUUCCUAAGAUAUGCACAUUAGCAGAUAACCUCGACUCUCCAAGCAGUACCCCAAGUACUACAGCAUGGCCAAACACAUGCAGUCCCUGAAACAGAAUGGCACAAUUCUUGUUUGAUACGAAUGAACCUAAUGAUCCAUGUGCACUGUGGUUAAUAUUGUUAAACAUUAAGUUGUGUCAUGUUGGUGUGGUACGCUAACUCAAAUUAAUAUGCAGCAAAGCAAACAAUCUCACCAGUAUUUUUAAAUGUGAAGUUUCAACUUUUGGCCUUAGAUUUCAAGAUGUUGACAGGGAAGCCUGAAAUGUUGCUCCUCCUAGCAGUAGUUAAAUUAAAAACUAAGAUGUGAUAAUAUUGUCACCUAAAAAAAGCAACGUAUGUGAAAGCUAUUAAUCAGAAUGUGGCAGCAAGGAGGAAGAAACUUAUUCAACGAAUUCCAAAGAUGCCUCAAACAUUUAUAUACUCCAAUUUAUAUAUUCCAUGGUUCUAGAAAGACAGCAUUUCAUCUGUCCACACAUACAGAGUACUGCAAGAAAUACAUAUUGAAAGCAGACUGAAAUGCUCUCACCUGUUCAUGCAGCUAGGUUCACGUGUGCAAAUGUGUUUGCAUCUGCAUCUAAUAAAAACUACCUCACUUUCCAUUUUCCAGGAACAAUAUUUUGGCUUACAGGUUUAAUAUUCCAAAGCUUUCUAGUAUUAAUUAUACCUCUGUAUUAGUCUUUUACAUAGAUAAAAUGUUUCUUGCUAUAGGGGGCAAGAGUUGGAAAUAACCUCUAUUAAAAAGAAUAUUUGAAGGUAUGUACAAAAAUAUCUAAACCAUGCUGCCUCGAUGAGUGCUUGUAAUGUGAACCUUGUUAGAUCACAUAUUGGGGUUAACAGGCAGCAAACACAAGCAGUGUUUCAGUUUUUAUUUUUCAGUGGCUUUCCAUUAAUGUCUGUCUCCUCUGGAAAACAAUACAAUACCACUAAGCAAAGCAAAAUGUCUGCAUGUACGUUUUCCUUCCAGUCCUUUUUAUAAUGUUACAUGUUUUGUUGAUGUAAGCCUACAUAUUAGUGUACUUGUACAGCAGAAUGUGUCCAUUGUAUUUGUAUUCAUGCCAAAAAUAAAAACAUUACCAACAAAAAA